rnacentral:rRNA from 1 species
CAAGUCGAGCGAGAAAGCCCCUUCGGGGGCAAGUAAAGCGGCAGACGGGUGAGUAAUACGUGAAUAAUCUGCCUUUUGGACUGGGACAACUUCGGGAAACUGGAGCUAAUACCAGAUAAGACCACGAAUUCUCAGGUUUUUGUGGUAAAAGGUGGCCAGCUUGCUGGCUAUCACCAGAAGAUGAGUUCACGCCCCAUCAGGUUGUUGGUAAGGUAAAGGCUUACCAAGCCUAAGACGGGUAGCUGGCCUAAGAGGGCGGCCAGCCACACGGGGACUGAGACACGGCCCCGACUCCUACGGGAGGCAGCAGUGAGGAAUAUUGGGCAAUGGGCGCAAGCCUGACCCAGCGACGUCGCGUGGGGGAUGAAGGCCUUCGGGUCGUAAACCCUUGUCAUAGGGGAAGAUGGGUAUAUGUGCUAAUACCACAUGUACUUGACGGUACCCUAAGAGGAAGCCCCGGCUAACUCCGUGCCAGCAGCCGCGGUAAUACGGAGGGGGCAAGCGUUGCUCGGAAUUACUGGGCGUAAAGGGUCCGCAGGUGGUUUCGAAAGUUAGAUGUGAAAGCUCAGGGCUCAACCCGGAAAUAGCAUCUAAUACUCCGAAACUAGAGUCUAGGAG